AGAGUUUGAUCCUGGCUCAGAUUGAACGCUGGCGGCAUGCCUUACACAUGCAAGUCGAACGGCAGCACGGGGGCAACCCUGGUGGCGAGUGGCGAACGGGUGAGUAAUAUAUCGGAACGUGCCCUGGAGUGGGGGAUAACUAGUCGAAAGAUUAGCUAAUACCGCAUACGAUCUACGGAUGAAAGUGGGGGACCCGCAAGGGCCUCAUGCUCCUGGAGCGGCCGAUAUCUGAUUAGCUAGUUGGUGAGGUAAAGGCUCACCAAGGCAUCGAUCAGUAGCUGGUCUGAGAGGACGACCAGCCACACUGGGACUGAGACACGGCCCAGACUCCUACGGGAGGCAGCAGUGGGGAAUUUUGGACAAUGGGCGCAAGCCUGAUCCAGCAAUGCCGCGUGAGUGAAGAAGGCCCUUCGGGUUGUAAAGCUCUUUUUGUCAGGGAAGAAACGGUGAGGGCGAAUACCCCCUUGCUAAUGACGGUACCCUGAAGAAUAAGCACCGGCUAACUACGUGCCAGCAGCCGCGGGUAAUACGUAAGGGUGCAAGCGUUAAUCGGAAUUACUUGGGG
rnacentral:rRNA from 1 species